CAAUUUGGGGAACAUUUAUGUUACCACGAUCGUUUAUAGAAAUUUAAGUAUGGUAAGAUGUUCCACAGGAAAGCAUCCUUUAUUUUUAGGUCCAAUAUACCUUCACCACAGAUUCGAUAUGGAAACGUAUUUUCAAUUUUUUGGUCAUUUGAGCGGUGUCCUUAAGAUCGAUCACAGCAAACCAAUAUUUGGCACUGAUGAUGAGAAAACGCUCCAUCACGCAAUAGUAAAAGCGUUUCCAGAUUCCCAUCACACACUAUGCUGCAGGCACUUAAAAGAAAAUUUAGGUAGAAAUAUGGUGGAAAAAGGUGUUAACCAACAAGACAGAAAGAUGAUCACAAAUGAAGUAUUUGACACAUUACAAAAGAAAAUUUAGGUAGAAAUAUGGUGGAAAAAGGUGUUAACCAACAAGACAGAAAGAUGAUCACAAAUGAAGUAUUUGACACAUUAAAAGCAAAAGAUAUUAUAGAGUUGGAC